CCUACGGGAGGCAGCAGUAGGGAAUCUUCGGCAAUGGACGAAAGUCUGACCGAGCAACGCCGCGUGAGUGAAGAAGGUUUUCGGAUCGUAAAACUCUGUUGUUAGAGAAGAACAAGGAUGAGAGUAAAACGUUCAUCCCUUGACGGUAUCUAACCAGAAAGCCACGGCUAACUACGUGCCAGCAGCCGCGGUAAU
rnacentral:rRNA from 1 species